rnacentral:lncRNA from 1 species
CAAAAAAAUUCCUGAUACCAAUCCUUUAAUUGCGGGGUAGGGUUAGUGAGAUUAUAGAUUAAAUCAGAGUCAUCCCCUCAAUUACCAGUCAACAACCUGUGAAAAUCAGUAUGAGUGACAAUCUCAUUAAAAUCACCCAACAUUAACCAAGACUCUUAAAUUGUACCAGCAAUAUCAAAAAGCUUAUUCCAAGUAUCAGUUCUAUCAUUCUCCCGCUAGCUAGC